CUCGAUCAUUGAAUUGAUAUAGAAAAUAUAGAAAUUAAAAUGAUUAAGAAACCAAAUUAUAUCACUUUAAACCUCAAAUGAUUAAAUUGAUAUAGAAACUAGAAAGUAUAGAAAUUAAAAUAAUUAAGUGACCAAAUUAUAUUAUUUGAAUGAUACGAAUUGAAAAUAUGGUGAACUUAAAUUUUAUUUUGUAUGUACAAAAAAAGUAUAGACAAAGAUGCAUACACUAUCACGACAAUUUAAUAAUUAUUUUAUAUUCUUUCCAAGAAAUAAAUCAUCUUACUCUUAAACUUUUCAAGCCCAUUUAAGAACAACUGAGUUUAGCAUGUAACUUUAUAUGAUACUCGGAAAAUAAUUAAAAACAAAGAAAAAGAAUAAAGUACUUAUUAAAGUGUAGUUAUUUUAUGAAUAGUGUUCAAGUAUAAUGAUCUAAACAAAAUGCUAAUAAAUCAAAAUUGAAAAUAAUCUGUUAUUUACAAAAAAAAAUUAGUAAAAUGGCUAACCUAUAAUUUUUAAAUAGUUUCAAUUUUUAGAAAUUUAUAGUUUUUUCUACAUCUCCAUACUUUUAAAGCUUAUGUAUCUAUAAAUGUAAUAUAGAGUCUAAAUUUAAGAAAUUUUUUAAAAAUAACAAAUUUUACAAAAUAUUUACAAUCUAUCGUAAAAUUCAAAAUUUUACUAUAGCUCGUAAAUAUAAUUUUUAUUAAAAUUUAUUAAAUAAAUGGUAAUGUCCUCAUUUUAAUGAAGAAAAUAUUGUUAAGAAAGAAAGAAAGAGUACUGAGAGUACAUACAUAGUAGGCGGUGACGGUACCGGCGGAGUUACCGGCGACGAGCUUGAGCUGCAUAUCAAUCCGGCCAAAGAGGUAGGUUUUCUUAGAGUGAAAACCAGAGCCAGAAAGGUUAUCUAAAGAAAGAGAAAGAAGGGCACCGGAAUUAAAAAUCUUAGCUCUAUCUUCUCCCCAAUUUAUCUCAAAAUCCUCAUAAAAGUUUCCCCCAUAAACAAAACUACUACAACUACAAACACUCAGCCACCAAAAUGCCAACCACUUCACUGCUGAGCCACCGCCCAUGUCGUCGGAACUCCGCGCCUAAGAGACUAAGAAAUUAAAUAUUGUAUUGAGAAGAAAGAAAAGAAGGGAGAUUUAUAUAUAUGAGAGAGAGAGAGAGAGAGAGAGAGAGUAAUGAAAGAGGGUGUGAGGGACGCGUGAAGAGAGCUGCCACCUCUGUAAUCUCUGAUCGCUCACUCACCUUAUAAACUACCUUCUCUCACUUCUCACCACCUAAUUUUGCUUUAACUUCUCUUUACUUUACUGUAUAAUAUAUACACACUUUCCCAUUUGUAUUAUUCUUUUCUUUUAUUUCUUCUCUUCUUCUUCUUCCUCCUAUUUCUUUUUCUACUAAUUAUUUUCAAUUUAAAGUUUCAAGAUUCCAUUUCAAAUAUUAAUUUCUCCAACUAUUUCUCACCAUUUCCAUGUACAACCAUGAUUUCUUUUUCUAAUUAACCUUUUUAAUUUUUACCCAAAUUUUUAAAAUUAAUUACAAGCUCUCUACCCAUUAACCAUAUAAUUAAAUUUAAAGUAUUAGCAUAUAUAAUUAAUAGCAAAAGUUUAUCAAUAAUAUAAUGUAUUGCAAACAUUGACAUAUAACUGCUUAAUCAUAAAAGUCUAGCAACUACCACCGUCUUUCACUAAUGCUAUAUUUACAAUUUUUUAAAAAGAUAUUGCUAUUUAUUUAGCUAUAAUCCCUAAAAUUUUUAUCCAUCAUGAUUAUCUACAUUUGAGUACUAAUUUAUUUGAAUUUUCAAACACUCCUAAAGUAGAAGAGUAGGUAAUUAAGAAAAGAAAACAAAUAAACUCUUAAAUCAUUCAUGGACCAAAGAGCGAGAAAAUAAUUAGAUAAGUAAAAAAUCAAUAUUAAUUUAAGAGAAAACAACACUCUUCUUAUUUGUGAGUUUAAAGUAUAUACAAGACUCAACAAGUGAUAUUAAUGGAAGAAAAAAUAACAUUAAAUAGAUUUAAACUUUAUGAAGUAUCUACUUUAACCAAUUUUAGAUUAUUGAUUGACAAAAAAAAUUAACCUUAUAUCCAAAUUAAAUGAAGAGAGAGUAUCAUUUAUAAAAUUAAGCUAAUUAGCUAAAUGGUUAUUAAAGUGAGAAUUUAGUAGUUUUGUUUGAAAUGAAGUUUAUAAACAAUCUGUUUGCGUUUUCUUUAUGACGUAUUCUACUUCUUCUAACUGUUAUAUUAAUGCUAAGCAUAAUUUGAUUAGGGAAUUGUUUGUUUCAGAAUGUGAAAUCAUAUUACAAAAUUCGUGAGGAAAAAAUGAAUUUUGAUAUUCUUAAAAGUGUAUAUAUAUAUAUAACUAGAACUUGAAAUCGUUAUCAAAAAUAGUCUUAGUGGUGUUAAAUUAUUGGGGUGAGUUUGGGAGUACGUUUCCAAAUUGAAAUUUAAGUAAUUGAAAGAUUUAUUUAUGAUUUAUAAUUGAUCAAUUCCUUUCUGUAAGAUAAGAUGUUGUUUCAUUAAAUAUUAUAGAAUCGUGAUUUAUUACAUGAUCAAGUAAUAAUAACAAUCCCAAUUUCAUAUAACUUUCAGUUUUUAUGCCCGUUUUUACAUUUUUUUUCCAAAUUUGGAGCGAAAGACUAUGAUAUGUUAGUGUUGAAAUUUUGUUCUAUUUUUGUCCCUACUAAAUGAAAGAUACAUCUACAAAAGAAAGGUAUAUAUCUUGAUCUUUUGUAUGUAACACGGUGUUGGGUAAGGACAUUGCAUACACUUAAGCUUCAAACGUCUUGAUAUGAAGUUGUUAGAUGCCGUUCCCUCCUCCUCUGAGAUCUAUUUAUGGAUUCGAUGCUACUUAAAAUAACAUUUCCACUGAGUAUAGGAAUUAGAGAGAUUGGUGAUUUGGCAUCAUUUGGAGCGUGUUUGUUCAUUUGGUAAAACUUUCACGUAUUCGUAUAUUGUAAAGAGGAUAAAAGGACAUGCUCAAGCGAUGCCAUGUUAUGAUAUUGAAGAGGUGUUGUCAAAUAACUUACGACAUUAUAUAUUGUAGAGCGGUUAAAGUCCAUGAGGCUAAGGUCAUGACAUGUGUUUGGUUUUGGAUUUAGGUUUGAGUUUAGAGAUUUUGAGUUGUGUCCCAUUUAUAGUCUUAUUGUUUGGGUUUGCUAAGUGUGCAAGUUAAAAAUCUUAUUAUUAUUAUUUUUAGAUGCCUAUUUCUAAUAUUUGAAGUUUUUUUUUUUUUUUUUUAAUGUUAGAUACUUAUAUGAAUCUGAUCCAAAUAUUCUAGAUAAAUAUGCAUUUCAUGAAUCCUGGACAAAUUUGAAAAGGUUCAGGUUCCGAAAAAUAUAGAGUUCGAUACUUGUAUAAUAAAUUGGUAUCAAACAAGAAUAAAGUAUUGAUAUGUCUAUUUAAUUGCGGGUAAGUUAGAAAACAAGUAUUGUUAUUUUUCAUAUGCUUUUUAAUUAUACUAUUUUUUAUUAACUUGAUUGAAACAUAUGUUUAUUAUAUAAAUAUUAUUGAAUAUUAUUUACUAUCUCAUUACAUACGAAUACGGUGUAUGCACUUGAUUCGUUAAGACAAGUUGAAAUCUAUGGUCAAUACGUAAGUAUUUAACGGUUAUUUCACACAAGUGUAUAUUCAUUAUGUAAAUUGCACUUUGUUAUACUUUUUUUAUUCGUUUUAAUCCAUAGCCUUAAGAAUGUUUUGGGCUGAAACAAAUAAAUGAGCUUGACCUCUUGGGUUUCUAUUAAGGGUAUGAAUACUUAAAUUCAAAAUAAAUGGUAAUGUGCACAUUCAUUUUAAAUAUUUGUUUUUAUUUUAACACGUGUUUUGAAUAUAUAUGUGUGUUUAUAGUGUGCUCAACAGUCGGGCAAUCAGAAUGUGGGUACUAUGUGAUGAAGUUCAUGCAAGACAUAGUAGGGCAAAAGAAUGUCAUAAUUACAUAUGUGGUAUGCAUUUUCUUGCACAAUCUCUUAUAGCUAUUAUUGUUAAUUACACUUAAUACAAUCUAGUUAUUAAAUUACAUUUUAUUUCAUUUAUAGCCGACAAAAGAAGCACCUUACACUCAAUUUGAAUUGGAUGUGGUGAGAGUUGAAUACCGUGACUUUUUAGGACGCUACAUAUGAUACAUGUUUUUUUAUUGCAAUGAACGAGCAGUUUUUAUAUUUAUAGUUUAGGUAUAUCGUGAUACGAUGUCAAUUUAUACAGAUCAGUUAUGUCUUAUAUGAUCCUAUUUGUUAGAUACCAUUUUUUUUUGUAGAAAUGUUUGUUUAUGGUUGAUUAAUGAAAAUUAAUUAGUUUAUUUGAUGAAUAUCUAGUAAUUUUAUGAAAUAUAUAUUACUUGCGUUUCAAUUAUAUAGUAUGAUUAUAUGAAUUUCAUAUUUGUGAUUGUUGAUAUUUUUCAUGAGUUGUUUGAAGUUGUAAAGUUAGAAGUUUUGAGUUGUUGGAGUUCUGAAGUUGUGUGAGUUUUGUAAUUUUGGAGUUGUGGCGAAGUUCUGCAGGUUAUGUAGUUGACACGAAUUUACAAGAGUUGUUUGAACUAGUUUGUAAAUGUAUGUAAGGGAUUUUGCAUAAGUUACAAAGUUAGAAGUUUCGAGUUGUUGGAGUUUUGAAGUUGUGUGAGUUAUGUAGUUUUGGAGUUGUGGAAGAGUUAUGUAGGUUAUGUAGUUGACACGAAUUUGCAGGAGUUGUUUGAACUAGUUUGUAGUUGUAUGUAAUGAAUUUUGUAUAAGUUGUGAAGUUAGAUGUUUUGAGUUGUUGGAGUUUUGGAGUUGUGGAGGAGUUAUGCAGGUUAUGUAAUUGACACAAAUUUGCAAGAGUUUUUCGAACUAGUUUGUAGUUGUAUGUAAUAGAUUUUGCAAAUUAUGAGGUUUUGGUAUUUUCAGGUAUUUUAGACUGUUUGUGGUUAAUUACCGGUCACAUAUAUGGGAGGGUCGUAAUGAUUCAUAUUUUUUUUUCUAAAGCUAUUAUAGUUGACGGGUUCAAAACGUCAAGAAUAAGUUUUUGUUGAUGGGCAAAACUCAUCACUAGAAGGGCUAUCUUUGUGGACAAAAUCAGUUAAUAGAAAGGCUAGCUUGAUGGGAAAAACAUGUCAACAUAAAAGUUUAUCUUGAUGGACUGAUCCAAUUUCUUAGUAGGUGAAAGAUGUCAAAGUCCCCUUUCUUGAUGGCCAAUCCCAUCAAGAAUAUGUUUUUGAUGGCAUAUUUUGGCCAUCAAGUAAACAAUUUUCUUGAUGAGCUUUUCAGAUUCUUUGAUAGGUAAAAAGACAUCAAAGUCUCAUUUCUUGAUGACCAAUACCAUCAAGAAAGGAUUUUUUAUGGCAUGUUUUGGCCAUCAAGAAAACGAUUUUCUUGAUGGGCUUUUCAGUUUUUUUUUUUAAUGGGAAAAAACAUCGAAGUUUCCUUUCUUGAUGACAAAUACUAUUAAGAAAGAGUUUUUUAUGAUAUGCAUUGACUGAUUUUCUUGAUGGGCUUUUCAGUUUCCUCGAUGGAAAAGAAAAAUCGAAGUUCCCUUUCUUGAUAGCCAAUACCAUCAAUAAAGAGUUUUUGGUGACAUGUUUUGACCAUCAAGAAAACUAGUUUUCUUAAUGAUCGAGCUUUCUUGAUGUAUGCCUACUUGAUGGACAAAGACCAUCAAAGUAGACAUUUUUUUAUGUGCUUUGCACAUCAAAGAAGGCCAAAUUUGUAAUAGUGAACUAACUUAAUUUAUUGAAAAUCGUCGUCGAACAUCAUGUGGAUGAACACAUUAUUGAGGAUGACACUCUGUGUAGGAUUGGAGUUGAUCCUACACUGGUGGAAAGACCAGAUGUGCGUCAUGUAGCGUACGACUUCACAGACGAUGAUGAUGAAUAAUUAUCAUCACAUCAAAGUGGGUCAAACGACGAUGAAUAAUAUUGUCUUCUUCACGUAUACCCAUUGGUCAUUUUUCUAUACAUUUAGUUUCUAAUCUCACAUUUGAUAACGUUUGUUGAUUUUUAUGUCUGUAGGAAUUAUGUCAUCAUUUUCGAGUGGUAUUAUAUUCAUGAGGACAAUGUGUACCUGAACUUGGACAUGUUAGAUAACGCGGAAGGAUCAUCUUCGAUGGGUGACAUUUUAGGUUAGCC
rnacentral:lncRNA from 1 species